rnacentral:tRNA from 1 species
GGUCUAUUAGCUUUGUUGGUUAGAGCGUAGCACUAAGAAUGCCAAGGUCACAGGUUUGACCUCUGUAUGGACCA